ACCUCAAAUCAGGUAAGAAUACCCGCUGAACUUAAGCAUAUCAAUAAGCGGAGGAAAAGAAAAUAACAAUGAUUCCCUCAGUAACGGCGAGCGAAGAGGGAUAAGCUCAAAUUUUAAAUCUGUUGGGUUCCACUUAACAGAGUUGUAUUUUGAAGAAACGUUUUCUGCAUCCAGGAUUAGCCUAAAUCCUUUGGGAUAAGGUAUCAUGGAGGGUGAGAAUCCCGUUCAUGGUUAAUCUUAAGGAAGCUCUACGAUACGUUUUCCAAGAGUCGAGUUGUUUGGGAUUGCAGCUCAAAAUGGGAGGUAAAUUUCUCCUAAGGCUAAAUAUUGGCGAGAGACCGAUAGCGAACAAGUACCGUGAGGGAAAGAUGAAAAGAACUUUGAAAAGAGAGUUAAACAGUACGUGAAAUUGUUGAAAGGGAAACGAUUGAAGUCAGUCAUACCAACGGGAAAUCAACCUUUUGAGCUCGGUCUCGUGGGUUUUGAAGAGUUUCAAAGCCUUCGGAUUCGCGGGAUUGGGAUCUCUUGGUGUACUUUUUCGUACGGUUAGUCAACAUCGGUUUUGGAUGUCAUAAAAUGACUGGAGGAAUGUAGCUUCGAUCUCGUAUUGAAGUGUUAUAGCCUUUGGUAGAUGUGAUGUUUGAGACCGAGGAUUGCAACGGAUACCCUUCAGGGCUAUUCGUCUGAUCUCUGAUACGUUGCCUUGAUGUUGAAAGCUUGCUUAUGAUGUUAGGGUAUUACGGUCAAAAGGUUAGAACGGAUUAGAUUCGUUAAGGAUGUUGACGUAAUGACUUUAAACGACCCGUCUUGAAACACGGACCAAGGAGUCUAACAUAUAUGCGAGUGUUC
rnacentral:rRNA from 1 species